rnacentral:lncRNA from 1 species
GGGGACGAUUGCAGCCAGUCUGACGACUCUGGCUCAGAAUUGACUAGUCGGGUGUCCGGUCAUGCUGGAGUAGAUAAGUUACUAGAUACAUCGACCUUUGUCAGGAUGCCAUAGUUAACUUAGUUAACUUUGUUAUCGUCGGCUGGCUGCGAUGCUGAUCUAAUCAAAGUCACGUGUCUUGACGGUGACCGUACAACAAAACAGGAAUUGUGUGUCUUACUACAUGCCGUAACCUGUAACUUAGUAGUUAGUUAAGUUAGUUAACUACAGUGAUUGCAUGACAAAUUCUUGAUCCCGACAGACUCAAUCGUAGCCCCGACGGCAGUCAGACGCCGUCUACCGGCGGUGGAGAGUGGAGAAGGCAGGACGGUCCAGGGGUUCAUGGUUCAUCCUUGGCCUGUUUGGGUGUUGUCUGAGCGAUCAACCACCCCCAUCCGAACUUAACUUCAACACUGUGUCAAACCACAAAGUCAUGCGUUGCUCAAUACUUGUGCUUCGUACGUCUCCUUGCUUAGCACACCCUGACUCAGUGACUUGAGUCUUCCCGGCGCUAACGAAGACAUGCACGCUCUGGGCCAAUACGGACCUCUGCGCUGUUCGAAGGUGGUGUCGGGUCUGCCCACGAAUGGCAAACCGUGCCUGACGAUCAUCCAGUUUCCACAAAGUCUAGCUCUAACUUGUCUUUCACCCAAAACUAGGGUUGGCCCAAACUUCUCUCUGUAGGGUUCAAAGCAGUUGAGGACUAAGGUGCUGAUCCAAGGACUUGCCACAUUACCUACUACGCGUAAUCCUCGGCUGUCAGUUUCUCACGUGCAAAAGCCAGAUUGAAAAUAGAUCCGACGCUUUCCGUUACAAUUUACCCGCUAUCUUUCAGCCUUGCCUUUGGGGAUUGAUUCUAUGAUACAGACGCAUUGUGUUACUCUUGACCACCAAUCAGCGACAGGAUCUAGAACACCGUUGUUCAUGGGUGUCGGGUUGUAACAUGCUGCUCUGUACGUUAGUUGCUCGGAGUUGGACGGCGAACCCCAAUAUGAAACGGACCCAACCCCAAUAUGGACUAGGAUAGCUCUAGUGAGUGACUAAGACAAGCCUGACAAGGAAUAACAUAACUUCUAAGUAAGAGCCCGCUUUUCCUUCUUUCUUUUUUUCCUUCAAGUUUCGUGAUCGUUGAAAACGCCACACCAAAAUCUUUCCAUGCUCUAGGGUUUUUCGGCAUCAUGACAUCAGUCUAAAGAUUGUCCGUGAUGGUUACGUUGUAUAACCAUCGACCACGGAGCCAACAAAUCGCAGUGCUUGCUGCGCUGUAUCAACAACGGCGUCUUCCCUUCUCCACACAAGAAUCGUACACUCUUUUCUCUUCUGCCACACAUCCUAUGACGAACCAGGCCAACAUGCUCAAGAAUCGUCAAUGUCAUUUCGUGCCUAGACCGUUAGCGUUGGCCAAUCGCAAUGGCUGAUUACACAACAAUGCGGGUGUCGAAAGCCUUUUCAUCAUUUUCCUCUUUGGGAAUCAGCUGGAGCUGAGUGCCACACUGAGUAUAACUUUAUUGACUUGACUUUGAAGCGGAUUAGUCAAUCUUGGUAUUAACGUUAGUUAACCAGUUAACUAACUACUAUAUAGUAAGGGUAAGUCAAUUCUGUGCAAUGGCCAACCGUGGGAAAUGGAUAUGUAGCACAAGGACUUCCAGUUCUAUUCGUAUAGGCAGCUACAGCAGUUAGUUAGGUAGGACAGUCCAACCUGUGGCAACAGACCGGCUGAGUUUCUCAAGGAUUUUCCCUUUGAAGGAUUCUGUUCUCACCCGCAAAGCCGACAUAAAGUUACAAUUCCAUAUUGACAUACUCCGUACAUGGCAACACAUAGUUACCCACCGAUGUGGCGUCGUUCCAUUACUAUUGGUGCGGAGAACGGAACACGGCCAUAUGGGGAAGAAGGAUCACACCCUCUAUUUGAAGAAAACCGCUAUAUAGGAAGAAAGAAGACAACUGAUACGUACCGUACAUGAUUCUAUUAUGCUGGGUUACCCGAUUGUGGGAAGAAUCCUAGAAGGAUUCAGUUGGCUUGUUGGGCGUGUGUCAAGUGCGCAUACUAGGGGUUGUCUAGUUCGGAUUGUCGGAGUACGUAACUACGUACGUAGUUAACCUAUCUUUCUGAAAAGUUUGCACAUUUCAAAGUUCGCGCUUACGAAGAUACCGAAUCGAGUCAAUUGAUACGUAUACGAUCGGACUAGAAUGUUUUGGGCCUAACCCUCCGUGCUCCGUCUCAGUACGGAACGGGAGGAAAUCGGAACACUACUUUGGCAACAUCGGCUUUUCUUCUCACGAGCCCUUCUCCCUCCGGAGUAGAGCUAAGUACGGAGUUACGUCGGAGUAGUCUUCGACUAGUCAACACGCAGAUACACAGUAUAGUUAGCGCGUUGCUUGACUUUCUUCUCAGGUCUGGGAAGAACCCUGCUCGACGCAUGCAGGUACGUAGCUAAGUCUUCGCUUGCAAGUUGCGAGACUUGCUUGACAGUUGACUGAGCUGACGAUGAUUCGCCUCGUGCAAGGGGAUAUUACCGCAUUGGGCUUAGCGUCAGGCACACCCGCGCUGCUGCUGCACGUCAAAAGGGGCGGGCGCGGCUUGGCGCGUUGCUAUUGGCUGAGAACGGGGUAUAGUGGGGCGCGAAUGAGUUGGUUCCAACGUUCGUGUUUCAGAAACCGAACUCUCUCCCCGCUGCGACAAACAUACUACUCUACAACGUUUGAACGUGCGUACUCUGUAAGGACGCUUUCGAACAAGCGCAUCACUGGACAUCAGACUAUUGAACCUUAUCACGUCUUGUGCCGAGGCAUCAAUCAAAUCCAUCAACCAUCAAUUGAUAUGAUUAUGAUAUGAACAUCAACAUUGCGUUCCCUGUCGUACCCCAGCCCCAGAAUCAAUUUAUCCCCCUCGCCUCAUCCGUACAUCAUAUCAUACCUUCUAUAGUAGUUCGCCAGCCUAAAUAUUUAGUGGACGGGCCAUUUCCACGAUGAGAUCUUUACUGUCCGUUCGAGCGCGAUCGAUCUUCGAUCUGAUAUCGAUGGAUGCGACGCUGCUCAUCUCUAGGCUCUAAAUGAAUGCUACGUACGUAUACUAGUAUUAAUAAGGGUUAAACCAAAACAAUAAAAAAGGGUUAUGCACUGAUCGGUGAGGCCGAGUAUCUAUCCCAGCUGCUCCGACUACCCCCAAAAUGUGCUCGAUCGAACAUUCCAUCUCGAACAAGAGGAUAUGGUAUCCGCGUUAUGGAGAAGGGCUACGGGUGGCUUACGAAUAAUAGAGCUUAAUAUUGUGGCAUGAGUCGUCGCUCUCGGGGUGAGCAUUAUGCUUAUUUCGCGAGGCGUUUCUACAGAGUACGUAUACGUAGUAAAUAUUUUGGCGACUCUUGUUAGAACACCUGUGGGCGAUCGCACAUGCAGCCUUGUAGAUUGUUUUUGAACAUGAAAUACAGCUCUAACCUUAAGUUGUGUUACCGG